GCCAGCCGCCUAAGGUGGGACAGAUGAUUGGGGUGAAGUCGUAACAAGGUAGCCGUAUCGGAAGGUGCGGCUGGAUCACCUCCUUUCUAAGGA
rnacentral:rRNA from 2 species